rnacentral:rRNA from 1 species
CGCUGGCGGCAUGCCUAACACAUGCAAGUCGAACGAAGCCUUCGGGCUUAGUGGCGCACGGGUGCGUAACACGUGGGAAUCUGCCCUUUGGUUCGGAAUAACAGUUAGAAAUGACUGCUAAUACCGGAUAAUGACGUAAGUCCAAAGAUUUAUCGCCGAAGGAUGAGCCCGCGUAGGAUUAGGUAGUUGGUGGGGUAAUGGCCCACCAAGCCGACGAUCCUUAGCUGGUCUGAGAGGAUGAUCAGCCACACUGGGACUGAGACACGGCCCAGACUCCUACGGGAGGCAGCAGUGGGGAAUAUUGGACAAUGGGCGAAAGCCUGAUCCAGCAAUGCCGCGUGAGUGAUGAAGGCCUUAGGGUUGUAAAGCUCUUUUACCAGGGAUGAUAAUGACAGUACCUGGAGAAUAAGCUCCGGCUAACUCCGUG